UACGGUAGGGUGCUAGCGUUGUCCGGAUUUAUUGGGCGUAAAGGGCUCGUAGGCGGCGUGUCGCGUCGGGAGUGAAAGCCCGCUGCUUAACGGCGGGUUGGCUUCCGGUACGGGCAUCGCUGGAGUGCGGCAGGGGAGACUGGAAUUCCGUGGUGUAGCGGUGGAAUGCGUAGAUAGUCGGGGAAGGAACACCCGAGUGGCGGAAGGCGACUACCUGGCC
rnacentral:rRNA from 1 species